AAUGAAUCUCAUCACAUUUUCAUUAUUAGUCUAUAUUAGUCUCAUGUAUAGCACACCAAGCAUCUGUUUUUUUUAUUAAAAUGUAACAUGCAGUCGUCACAUAUACUUCUCUUCUCUCUUCAGAUGCACUUUUAAAAUAUUUCAGUACCACCCCCAGUGACACAGCAUCAGGUGCUCCUGUCCUUUUUAAUUUUAUCACUUGUUUCUUUCUUUAGUUUUUAUUUGGUGUGAUAUUUUUUACUCAAAGAAAUAAAAUCUUGAAUACACA